rnacentral:rRNA from 1 species
UACGUAGGGUCCGAGCGUUGUCCGGAAUUAUUGGGCGUAAAGGGCUCGUAGGCGGUUUGUCACGUCGGGAGUGAAAACUCAGGGCUCAACCCUGAGCGUGCUUCCGAUACGGGCAGACCAGAGGUAUGCAGGGGAGAACGGAAUUCCUGGUGUAGCGGUGGAAUGCGCAGAUAUCAGGAGGAACACCGGUGGCGAAGGCGGUUCUCUGGGCAUUACCUGACGCUGAGGAGCGAAAGCAUGGGGAGCGAACAGG